rnacentral:rRNA from 1 species
AAUGAACGUUGGCGGCGUGGAUUAGGCAUGCAAGUCGUGCGGAAAGGCUCCUUCGGGAGUACUCGAGCGGCGAAAGGGAGAGUAACGCGUGGAUACCUACCCCCGGAUCCGGGAUAGCGGCGGGAAACUGCCGGUAAUACCGGAUAAUGUCUCCGGACCAAAGGUGUGAUUCCGUCUGGGGAUGGGUCCGCGUCCUAUUAGCUUGUUGGUGGGGUAACGGCCUACCAAGGCAGAGAUGGGUACCGGGUGUGAGAGCAUGGCCCGGCUCACUGGGACUGAGACACUGCCCAGACACCUACGGGUGGCUGCAGUCGAGAAUCUUCGGCAAUGGGCGCAAGCCUGACCGAGCGACGCCGCGUGCGGGAUGAAGGCCUUCGGGUUGUAAAGCACUUUCAGUAGAGAAGAAAAGCCUAGGGUUAAUACCCCUGAGUCUUGACGUAACCUACAGAAGAAGCACCGGCUAACUCCGUG